rnacentral:lncRNA from 1 species
ACCGGGUACCUACGCCAAAACCUGUGUAGUGUGUGGUUAUAAAACCGGUGAACGAUUCGUUCCCGCGAGAUUUGGCAAGAGAAGCUUGUUCUACUGCCGUUGCCUAAUGGGAUCACUCGAUCGCGUCCAAGAAUACCAAUAUUCGCUUCACGAGAGAACCACGCCCUUCUAUCUCAUGUGAUCGCCGUUCCCAGUUUGCCGCCUGAGAAACACCCGAAUAAUAAACCAAAGAGACAUUGGCGGUAGUAUUUUAAGUGGCUCCAGCAAAUCCAGACGCCAUAAGGUAGUCAUAGUUGGAGCCGGAAUAGCUGGUCUGGCCGCCGCAACUAAACUGCUCGAGUAUAA